ACACACACACACACAUAUAAAUAUAUAUAUAAAUCUUACUUUGCCAUCACUUGAAGUGUUAGGGAAUUGUAAUUAAUGGCAUAGGCAAUGUGCCUGCUACUGAAUUGUUGGGGUCUUUACUCUUUGUCCUCUUAGCUAAAUGAAUGUCUGACUAGAAAACAUCGAAGCACAUCCACACACACACACACACACACACUUGCUGUUCCUCUUGUUUCCACCCACUACCAGAGCCUGAACUAUAGAGAUAUACUUAAGAUAACAUAAUAGAUAUUGCUCUACUUGUGUGUUAUCUGAACUUUUAUUUAUAUUAAAAUAUAUCUUUUAGUAUUUUCCAUUUAUAGUGGUGGCUGUCAUUGUAGUGCUCCUAUUUAAAAAAACUGUGGGUAAUUCUGAAUAAUUUAUUCAUUUGGUUACUUCUGUGGGAUUCUGGAUUGGAUGACUUUAGUAGAAUGGUAAUAUUCUGGAAUUAAUUUCAUCAACUACCAAAUCCUCACCUUCUCUAGAAAAUUCAUCUUUUGCCAAUUUGUCUCCCAAAACCCUCUUUUUUUUUAUUUUCAUUAUACUACUAAUGUAUUUUGCAUGUGGGGGAAACAGUAUUCGCUAGACUACAUGGCUAACUAUGUCACAGUAUUUAGAUUUUCUCUACUACCUUCUGAUUUCAAAUCUCAAAGGAUUUGAUUCUAUCUGCCAUCCCUUUAGGGAUCAAGAAAAGAAGUACUAAACAUGUAUUGGUUUAGUACUUCUUCAAUCAACUAUGUUUUAGUUGUGUACCAAUGUGAGAAAUUAUCAUCAUCAUUAUUAUUAUUAUUAUUAUUGAGCUGGCAAAAUUGUUAGCACACAGGUGAAAUACAUAAUGGUAUUUUGUCUGUCUUUAUGUUCUGAGUUCAAAUUCUGCCAAAGUCGACUUUACCUUUCAUUCUUUCAAGGUUGAUAAAAUAAGUACCAGUUGAACACCGAGGUUGAUGUAAUCUCUUUAUCUCCCCCCACAAAAUUGUUGGCCUUGUGCCAAAAUUUAAAAUCACCAUUAUUAUUAUUAUUAUUAUAGAAGGGAUGAAGAUUUUCUUUGAAAGUUGUUUCUAUUGUUUGUCUUACACUCAACAACCAGAAAGAUAAUUGUCUGUGAUAUUGAAUUAGCAAUUUUGAUUAUGCCCCACCCUUUCAUAUUUACUAAAUUUCUUUGCUAUGUUUUGGUAUGAUGUCUUUCUGUAAAGGUAAAGACAAAAAGGAAGGGAUAGGGUGCAUCAGAAUCAAGUAAUUAUAUUGUAAAUAUAUCUUUGGAAAUAAUUAUUAUUUUAUGAAUUCAGUGAUUAAUUGAUUUGAAAAUUUAUUUCCAUUUCUUUCCCUUCUUUUUUUAAAUACUUAUUAUUAUUUUUUUUUUGUCUUUCUGAAAUGUCUUCUUCCUCCUCUUUCUGUCUCAUAUCAUCAUCAUCUUCCAUAGACUUCACCAUUUCUCUCUGCAUUACUUCAUUUAUUUGUGGAGAAUUAUUCCCUCCCACCAGUUAAACCUUUCUACUCAACCUGGAAUUUACAUAUGUGUGUGUGUGUGUAUGUGUAGAUAUAUAUUGAUAGCUGAUUAGUAAAUAUUCAAAAGACAUAGAUAAAGGUUACACACAUGCAAGGAAGAGUGGUCACUGAUAGGUUGACUUGAUCGAGUAGUUCUGUGAAGGAAAAUUCAGAAGUUUGAAAAGUUUUACAGUUAUUAAAGAUAAAUUAUUAUGAUAAGAAUGAUGGAUUGACACUAUUGUUAGUGUCAGACCAAAUGCUCUGUGAUUAUUUCUUCCAGCUCUUUUUACAUUCUGAGUUGAAAUUCUAUCAAGGUCAGCUCUGCCUUUCAUCCUUCCAGAGUUAAUAAAAGAAAGUACUAGUAAAGUACUGAAGUAUCAACUAUACCUCCUCCCUUCAAAGCCGCUGGCCUUGCAUCUAAAUUAAAGCAUUAUUAUUAAAUUGAUGGAGAGGUAGUAUUUGGUUGACCUCCUGACAAAAUAUAUAUUAGGGUUGGAUAAAAUGAAGCCCUAGUAGUCUAUAGGGUUUUUGAAUCAAUCAUGUGUACUCUUCCUUAGAACUGUGUGAUCCUGUGACAUUGUGAAAAAUCAUUAUUAAGAUGAAUAGAAUGACUUAAGUGGUGGAGCACAGGAUGAACGUGUUUUGUGGUAUUUAGGUAAGUUUAUGUUCUUAACCAAUAAAAUAUGCACUUGUGAUCUACUAGUGAUCUGAUAUAAGAAACCAUUAUUAUGAAGGUGAGACAGAAAAUAAUGCAACUUUUAUUUGCAUUAUUUUCUGGUUCAUCCUUGUGCUAUUUACUCUUUCAUUCAAGUACUAAUAUUGAUUUAAUCAACAAACCUCUCCCCCAAAUUUUUGGCCUAUGUUAGAAACAUUAUUGUCAUUAUUAUUAUUUCAUUUUAAAGACUUUAUGGGAAACAUACAGUGAAAGGUUUGAUAUUUUAAUCAAUGAAGUACAGCUGUUAUUUGCAUUCUCCCCCAAGCACCUGGUUUAUAUAUGCAGUGCUUUCUGUUGGGUUCAAAACUAAGACAGCCGUCUGACAUAAACAAGGUAUAUAUUUGGCCUUUGAACUCUUGAAUACUGCAUCUGUAAAUGGUGAGUGGCGGCAGUGUAGGUUGUGGUGUAUAAAAAUCAAGCUAAAGAUAAAAAAUUAUCAGUUAUUAAGAAUUAUCAAAUGCAAUUUAACUGUUCUGCUUAAUAUUACAGCAAACACUUGAUAAAGAGAAAAAAAAUGGUUGUCACACACAUGUAUAGAUUUAUAUACAUUCACACUCAUACAACUAUACAUUCCUCAUUUCUGGUUGUCAUCUACAUUGUUAUUGUUAUUAUUACAGUUUUAUAUAAACAACCUGGUGAAUUAUCUCAUUUGGAUUUGUGUCCAUUAAUAUAUCAGAAGAGCCAACAAGCAUAUUGUUUGUGGAAAAAGAAAAAAAAACUGAUUUAAAAAAAAAAAUCAGUGGCUGUUUUUUGCUGUUGUUUGUUGUAGUCAGCUCUGAUAGAAUAGUCUCUAUCACUGGAGUAACUAAUUAAACAUUUAAUGACUUUCAAGAACAGAUCUCUGUCUUAUAGGUUCUUGGUUUUUAAACAUACAGUCCACUGUGAUGGUAUCUGAUUGCUAAGCUUGUCUGGUUGCCAGAUAACAUUGAACAUAUUUAAUGGAAAUCUUUUAGCUUGAAUGGCUGUUUUAGCUCUGUCUUCCAUGUUUCCUUUAUGGUUACUGAAAACAAAUUUUUGGUUUGAUCAAACAAAAAUGUCUUUUUCAAAUUUAAAUCCUGACAUGAAUGAGCUGGUUCUAGAAAUUCACUCUGCAUGAAUUGUUGAAGCAAGCACUGUUUUUUUUUUUAAGCAGCUGGAUAUCCUUCUUUAAUCAUUCAACUAUAUAGAGGGAGAGAUAUCCAAUAUUUAGCUAGAUAACCUAACAUAAUAUACUGUGCUUUUGCCAAGGGUCUACUUCACACAGGCAUCUCCUUCCCUCUACUUUCACACAAUAUGUGCGCAGCAGAGUCAAAUGUCUUUUAGUUGUGCUUAAUGUGAUUUCUAGUAUCUUGACACAGUUGGUAUAAUGAAAAGAAAGUGUAGAUACAAAAUGGCUUGUGAAAUCUAUCACAAAGUGUGAGUGACAUUUAGUUUUGCUAAUUAUCAUAUGAACUCCAUAUCUAAGAACACCCAAGUAUAUUAGUGCUUUAGUUUCUGUCCAAUGGGACAGCAGAACAAAGUCUACUUUCUUUUUUUAUCUUGUUAUUAUGUACAUAAUGGUUGUUUAGUUUAUGUGGCUGUUGUGCCACCAAUCUAGCUGCUGUUAUCAAUAUGUACCAAGUAUACAGUGUGGUCUAAUUGUUGGUUGUAAACUGUCCCAUGUACUGUUGAUGGUAUAGUUAAAUAUUUGGUGUUGAAACUUCUCUGCUAUAUAUUCAGUCUAACUUUUAUGGUAGUGUUAAGAGAAGUCUAAUUUAACUCUCUAAAGUAGCUUAGAUCUGCUCACACACAGUACCUAGUGUGUUUCUGUUCAG
rnacentral:lncRNA from 1 species